rnacentral:rRNA from 1 species
AGAACGAACGCUGGCGGCAUGCCUAAUACAUGCAAGUCGAACGAACUCUUCGGAGUUAGUGGCGCACGGGUGCGUAACGCGUGGGAAUCUGCCCUUGGGUUCGGAAUAACAGUUGGAAACGACUGCUAAUACCGGAUGAUGACGAAAGUCCAAAGAUUUAUCGCCCAGGGAUGAGCCCGCGUAGGAUUAGCUAGUUGGUGUAGGUAAAGGCUCACCGAAGGCGACGAUCCUUAGCUGGUCUGAGAGAUGAUCAGCCACGACGUGGGACUGAGACCGACGCCCAGACCUCGUUACGGG